AAAUUGAAGAGUUUGAUCAUGGCUCAGAUUGAACGCUGGCGGCAGGCCUAACACAUGCAAGUCGAACGGUAACAGGAAGCAGCUUGCUGCUUUGCUGACGAGUGGCGGACGGGUGAGUAAUGUCUGGGAAACUGCCUGAUGGAGGGGGAUAACUACUGGAAACGGUGGCUAAUACCGCAUAACGUCGCAAGACCAAAGAGGGGGACCUUCGGGCCUCUUGCCAUCAGAUGUGCCCAGAUGGGAUUAGCUUGUUGGUGAGGUAACGGCUCACCAAGGCGACGAUCCCUAGCUGGUCUGAGAGGAUGACCAGCCACACUGGAACUGAGACACGGUCCAGACUCCUACGGGAGGCAGCAGUGGGGAAUAUUGCACAAUGGGCGCAAGCCUGAUGCAGCCAUGCCGCGUGUAUGAAGAAGGCCUUCGGGUUGUAAAGUACUUUCAGCGGGGAGGAAGGUGUUGUGGUUAAUAACCACAGCAAUUGACGUUACCCGCAGAAGAAGCACCGGCUAACUCCGUGCCAGCAGCCGCGGUAAUACGGAGGGUGCAAGCGUUAAUCGGAAUUACUGGGCGUAAAGCGCACGCAGGCGGUCUGUCAAGUCGGAUGUGAAAUCCCCGGGCUCAACCUGGGAACUGCAUUCGAAACUGGCAGGCUUGAGUCUUGUAGAGGGGGGUAGAAUUCCAGGUGUAGCGGUGAAAUGCGUAGAGAUCUGGAGGAAUACCGGUGGCGAAGGCGGCCCCCUGGACAAAGACUGACGCUCAGGUGCGAAAGCGUGGGGAGCAAACAGGAUUAGAUACCCUGGUAGUCCACGCCGUAAACGAUGUCUACUUGGAGGUUGUGCCCUUGAGGCGUGGCUUCCGGAGCUAACGCGUUAAGUAGACCGCCUGGGGAGUACGGCCGCAAGGUUAAAACUCAAAUGAAUUGACGGGGGCCCGCACAAGCGGUGGAGCAUGUGGUUUAAUUCGAUGCAACGCGAAGAACCUUACCUGGUCUUGACAUCCACGGAAGAAUUCAGAGAUGGAUUUGUGCCUUCGGGAACCGUGAGACAGGUGCUGCAUGGCUGUCGUCAGCUCGUGUUGUGAAAUGUUGGGUUAAGUCCCGCAACGAGCGCAACCCUUAUCCUUUGUUGCCAGCGGUCCGGCCGGGAACUCAAAGGAGACUGCCAGUGAUAAACUGGAGGAAGGUGGGGAUGACGUCAAGUCAUCAUGGCCCUUACGACCAGGGCUACACACGUGCUACAAUGGCGCAUACAAAGAGAAGCGACCUCGCGAGAGCAAGCGGACCUCAUAAAGUGCGUCGUAGUCCGGAUUGGAGUCUGCAACUCGACUCCAUGAAGUCGGAAUCGCUAGUAAUCGUGGAUCAGAAUGCCACGGUGAAUACGUUCCCGGGCCUUGUACACACCGCCCGUCACACCAUGGGAGUGGGUUGCAAAAGAAGUAGGUAGCUUAACCUUCGGGAGGGCGCUUACCACUUUGUGAUUCAUGACUGGGGUGAAGUCGUAACAAGGUAACCGUAGGGGAACCUGCGGUUGGAUCACCUCCUUACCUGAAAGAAGC
rnacentral:rRNA from 1 species